CCUACUCUGGGGCGGGGCCAGAAACACUGGAAACCUCUUUCGGGUAUGACCCUCCAGCACCCUCCCCCUCUCACCCCCCGAACUGACUGUGCUUUCUCUCUCCUUCCAGUGAUGUGGUUUCUGGCUCUAACUGCAGAGGGAGAGACAAGGGACAAGACGGAAGUCCCAUGCACCUGGCCAAUCCAGAAAGAGUAUAGUCAAGAAACCGUGCUGAGGGGCGCCUAGGUGGCUCCAUCAGUUAAGCGUCGGACUUGCUAUCAGCCCAGGUCCUCGAUCUCAUGGUUCAUGAGUUCAAGCCCCGCGUCGGAGCGCUCUCUCUAGCUGCCCCUCCCACGUACUCUCUCAAAAUAAAGAAAUAAACUUUUAAAAAGAAAAAGAAAAAACAAACCUUUGUGAACCUCAGGACAUAGAAACCAACAGGGCUACAGCCGCCACCAACCUCAGAGAAUGAAGCUGGAGCCAGAAAAUGAAACCAGCUCUAACUCAAACUCCUGCCCCUCCCCUCACCCCUCCGCAGUCCCCAAGGACGUCAUCAAAGCUGCUUGUCUUAUAAUGGCAGAGUCUACAUGGAUGCGCAUGGGCUCUGCCUACAUUUUCUUUCUGCAGACAGCAGAUGUUCGGUUCGUGCAUGGCAAAAAAGAAAAGAAAAAAAAAGAACCCUCAAAUAUUGCAAAGUUUCUUCUCUUUACCAAGUAUAAAAAUAAACUAACAACUAAAUAAACAGAUUGAGCAUGUCUCCAAAGAUUUCAAAACUCAGUCCUUUGGAAGGAAUAUUUGAUCGUUUCCAUUUCAGCUACAAUGACCUGGUGACCUAACAGCAUGGUGAAAGGACUCAGACCACAGCACCUCCGUCCGCCCGCCGUACAACUAACUGAGGAAAAUUAACUUUUAAAAUAUGGUGGCUAUGACAGUGAACCUUCUAUAACUUCUUCCUGCAGCGCCCAACAGAAAAAUGUAAUUCCAGCAGAUGGACCUGAAGGAAACCCCAAACGUAUUCUAUUGAAAUGAGUACUGCUUCCAUCGGAUUUACAAAUGUCUUCUUUUAAAAUCAUUGCCUUUGUAAUAGCAUGGCUCAUACUCUUGCCCCAAGUGUCACUGUAAGGGGUGAAAGGGAGGGUGGCGGGGUGUUCCGGGCUGUGGGAGAAACAGGGCCGCGCCACUGUCCCCCUGCGGGGCAUGCUGACAGUCACACAGGGCUUGCCCGGCUCACAGCAGCCCCCAGACGGCCCAGGUGUCCGCUUCGGUCACUGUGCAUCUGAGGCAGGACACUCAUCAGCCCCACUAAUGACAGCAAUAACGACUGUCUGGCAUCCCAGACACUACGGGAGAGGCAGACGGCCACAGGGGCAGGCUCCCACAGAGCCACCCAGAGAAAUAGCUACCAACGCAGAACAAUAAAGAACAGCAUCGGUGAGAAUUACGAUCAUUUUUUCUCCUGGAGAACUCCCAAGGAAUACACAAUAACCACCACCACCGACCCUGAUUCCUCCUGCUAGUCAAAGACCAGCUCCGACUGGGAGCUCCAGGCGAGGGCCUCAGUGACUCCGCUGUCCUUUUUCCAAAGAGAAGCCACUCCCUGGACAUUUUCUCUAUUGCUGGUGGGUUGCAGCGCCCUCGUGUGUCUCUAUGACUCAGAGGUUCCAAAGGCCGCAGACUUGCUUUUCGUCAAAGCCCAAUAAAAUUCCCAGUGGCAAUUUUUGUACUGACUUCACAAUCUCAAAAUAAUUGGAAAAACACAUCCAUUGGACUGGCCAGCACGCACUAAAUAUGGAUGGAAGCUACGAUUACGUUUGCCUGUGUGACUCUCGAUUCCCAUUUAAUUCUGCCUUCAUUCUAAAGUAUGCGAUAUAAAAGGCAUGUAAGGAUGGAGCUCAAAAUUCACUUGAAUUUCUGAUGAAGGUGCUGGACCAAACUCUUCUUCCAUGGGCCUGAACAUCCGUUUGACCAGGACGCUGCUGCUAGAAAAGAUGGGCAGAAAUUGUUAACUAAAGCAGGCAGGGGCCAAAAGAAAGGUUCACAUGUG